GGGAUUCUUUUUACGGAGCUUGCUCACCGGAAAAGAGGAGUGGCGAACGGGUGAGUAACACGUGGGUAACCUGCCCAUCAGAAGGGGAUAACACUUGGAAACAGGUGCUAAUACCGUAUAACAAUCAAAACCGCAUGGUUUUGAUUUGAAAGGCGCUUUCGGGUGUCGCUGAUGGAUGGACCCGCGGUGCAUUAGCUAGUUGGUGAGGUAACGGCUCACCAAGGCCACGAUGCAUAGCCGACCUGAGAGGGUGAUCGGCCACAUUGGGACUGAGACACGGCCCAAACUCCUACGGGAGGCAGCAGUAGGGAAUCUUCGGCAAUGGACGAAAGUCUGACCGAGCAACGCCGCGUGAGUGAAGAAGGUUUUCGGAUCGUAAAACUCUGUUGUUAGAGAAGAACAAGGAUGAGAGUAACUGUUCAUCCCUUGACGGUAUCUAACCAGAAAGCCACGGCUAACUACGUGCCAGCAGCCGCGGUAAUACGUAGGUGGCAAGCGUUGUCCGGAUUUAUUGGGCGUAAAGCGAGCGCAGGCGGUUUCUUAAGUCUGAUGUGAAAGCCCCCGGCUCAACCGGGGAGGGUCAUUGGAAACUGGGAGACUUGAGUGCAGAAGAGGAGAGUGGAAUUCCAUGUGUAGCGGUGAAAUGCGUAGAUAUAUGGAGGAACACCAGUGGCGAAGGCGGCUCUCUGGUCUGUAACUGACGCUGAGGCUCGAAAGCGUGGGGAGCAAACAGGAUUAGAUACCCUGGUAGUCCACGCCGUAAACGAUGAGUGCUAAGUGUUGGAGGGUUUCCGCCCUUCAGUGCUGCAGCUAACGCAUUAAGCACUCCGCCUGGGGGAGUACGACCGCAAGGUUGAAACUCA
rnacentral:rRNA from 1 species